rnacentral:rRNA from 1 species
UACGUAGGGCGCAAGCGUUGUUCGGAUUUACUGGGCGUAAAGGGCGCGUAGGCGGCCAGCACAAGUCAGUUGUGAAAUCUCCGAGCUUAACUCGGAAAGGUCAACUGAUACUGUGCGGCUAGAGUGCAGAAGGGGCAACUGGAAUUCCUGGUGUAGCGGUGAAAUGCGCAGAUAUCAGGAGGAACACCGGUGGCGAAGGCGGGUCUCUGGGCCGAUACUGACGCUGAGGAGCGAAAGCAUGGGUAGCGAACAGG